AUAUUAAUUUUGAAAAGGUGCAAUGCAUCACUAAGAGAUGGACCUGCGUUGUAUUAGCUAGUUGGUGAGGUAACGGCUCACCAAGGCGACGAUACAUAGCCGACCUGAGAGGGUGAUCGGCCACACUGGGACUGAGACACGGCCCAGACUCCUACGGGAGGCAGCAGUAGGGAAUCUUCGGCAAUGGGGGCAACCCUGACCGAGCAACGCCGCGUGAGUGAAGAAGGUUUUCGGAUCGUAAAGCUCUGUUGUAAGAGAAGAACGAGUGUGAGAGUGGAAAGUUCACACUGUGACGGUAACUUACCAGAAAGGGACGGCUAACUACGUACCAGCAGCCGCGGUAAUACGUAGGUCCCGAGCGUUAUCCGGAUUUAUUGGGCGUAAAGCGAGCGCAGGCGGUUAGAUAAGUCUGAAGUUAAAGGCUGUGGCUUAACCAUAGUACGCUUUGGAAGCUGUUUAACUUGAGUGCAGAAGGGGAGAGUGGAAUUCCAUGUGUAGCGGUGAAAUGCGUAGAUAUAUGGAGGAACACCGGUGGCGAAAGCGGCUCUCUGGUCUGUAACUGACGCUGAGGCUCGAAAGCGUGGGGAGCAAACAGG
rnacentral:rRNA from 1 species